CGCCAAGAACCGUGAGGAAAUGUCUCCCCUUGCGGAUCUGGUAAUUUCAUGACAAAGGAG
rnacentral:ncRNA from 1 species